GUGCUCAUUUUGGCAGCACAUAUACGAAAAUUGGAACAAUAUAGAGAGGAUUAGCAUGGCCUCCACACAAGGAUGACACGCAAAUUCGUGAAGUGUUCCAUAUUUUU
rnacentral:snRNA from 1 species